GCCAGCCCGCUCAGAAACUUAAAGGAAUUGACGGGGGCCCGCACAAGCGUGGAGCAUGUGGUUUAAUUCGAUGAUACGCGAGGAACCUUACCUGGGCUCAAAUGUAUGUUGACGUAUUCUGAAAGGGAUACUUCUUCGGACAAUAUACAAGGUGCUGCAUGGUUGUCGUCAGCUCGUGCCGUGAGGUGUCGGGUUAAGUCCCGCAACGAGCGCAACCCUUGUGUUUAGUUGCAAACAGGUCAAGCUGUGCACUCUAGACAGACUGCCGUGGACAACACGGAGGAAGGUGGGGAUGACGUCAAAUCAUCAUGCCCCUUAUGAUCUGGGCUACACACGUGCUACAAUGGCCGGUACAACGGGCAGCGAAGGAGCGAUCCGGAGCGAAUCCUAAAAAGCCGGUCCCAGUUCGGAUUGCAGGCUGAAACUCGCCUACAUGAAGUUGGAGUUGCUAGUAAUCGCGAAUCAGAAUGUCGCGGUGAAUGCGUUCCCGGGUCUU
rnacentral:rRNA from 1 species